UGCAGACCACUCCUCCUACAAAAGCAGCAGCCGCACAGGCAAGUCCUGCACUUGGACUGUGCUUUUGCACCAGCAGUUCCAGCACUGCUGGAAGGCGCUCAGGGACAGGGACCGAACGACCGCUGAACUAAUGCCUUACGAUGAUACCAAGAUGAGCUGACUUGUAGGUUUGCAGUUCAGUGCAGUCUUAGAGCAACAUAAAUACCCCAGCCUUGGAGCCUUGGAGCCUGAGAAUCCUUCAGAAAGGGCACCACAGCCCAGAUGACACGUAAUGCUACAGCUGCCCCGGAGUCACAUCCACGUGGAUCCCGGCCUCCACAAAGAGGGAUUUAGCUGUCUUCCUAACAUCACCCAUUCUGAAUCUAUAGCAACCCUCCUGCGAUACGUGAAGCUAUUUUUAGCAUCAGGGCAGCCUUGAAAAGCAGCAGAUCAGAACUAAUAGUGAGAGCCAGAAGCACAGUACAAGCUUAUCACUGCCCCUGCUGAAACAUGUCUGCCAGCAAGCGCCUCCGCUGCACUGCAAGGUGAAGAUUUUUCAAUUAAAUCGUCAGAUAACGAGAAGCCUAUCUAAUACAACAAACCACAACGCCUCCACCUGUCCUUCAAACCUCACUGAAAACAGGGAAUCGAAUUUUGACUCACGCUGUGCCUUAUCAGACCCUGAAACACAAGCAAAAAAGGAGCCGGCAAGGCCCCAGAAGCAGGCGCUCAGAUGUGGGCACAGCAGGCAAUUGCCUGUUCUCUUGAGCCAGAAAACAAGCAGUGAUGCUUCGGGAAAGGGUA
rnacentral:lncRNA from 1 species